rnacentral:lncRNA from 1 species
GAAUGCCCGCCGCCACCCUCAACGUCCAAAGUGUCCACUCACGGUCUACUAGGAAGGCGACCUCCUCCCAAUAACGCCAGGUGCUGAGUGACUAUGGGCCUCCAUCGCUAGGCUACACCCAGGGAACUGAAAAGAGCCAGGUGCCUCAGAGUAAAUAUGCAGAGCUGCUGCUGGUGGUCAUUGAAAAGUUGGGGGAAAAGAUCAGACCCACGGAUGCCGGGAGCAAGAGCGCCAUGGAAAGGCUAAAACUAGGCAUCAUUCAUGUCGGAAGCCUGGUUCCGGAGUGCUUGGCUGAAAUGGAACUGAAGGUCCA